rnacentral:rRNA from 1 species
AUUGAACGCUGGCGGCAUGCCUUACACAUGCAAGUCGAAUGGUAACAGGUCUUCGGAUGCUGACGAGUGGCGAACGGGUGAGUAAUACAUCGGAACGUGCCUAGUAGUGGGGGAUAACUACUCGAAAGAGUGGCUAAUACCGCAUGAGAUCUACGGAUGAAAGCAGGGGAUCGCAAGACCUUGUGCUACUAGAGCGGCCGAUGGCAGAUUAGGUAGUUGGUGGGAUAAAAGCUUACCAAGCCGACGAUCUGUAGCUGGUCUGAGAGGACGACCAGCCACAGUGGGACUGAGACACGGCCCAGACUCCUACGGGAGGCAGCAGUGGGGAAUUUUGGACAAUGGGCGCAAGCCUGAUCCAGCCAUUCCGCGUGCAGGAUGAAGGCCUUCGGGUUGUAAACUGCUUUUGUACGGAACGAAACGGUUCUCUCUAAUACAGGGGGCUAAUGACGGUACCGUAAGAAUAAGCACCGGCUAACUACGUGCCAGCCGCCGCAGUAAAAC